CUAUACAUGCAGUCGACGCGUUGGCCCAAUUGAUUGAUGGUGCUUGCACCUGAUUGAUUUUGGUCGCCAACGAGUGGCGGACGGGUGAGUAACACGUAGGUAACCUGCCCAGAAGCGGGGGACAACAUUUGGAAACAGAUGCUAAUACCGCAUAACAACGUUGUUCGCAUGAACAACGCUUAAAAGAUGGCUUCUCGCUAUCACUUCUGGAUGGACCUGCGGUGCAUUAGCUUGUUGGUGGGGUAAUGGCCUACCAAGGCGAUGAUGCAUAGCCGAGUUGAGAGACUGAUCGGCCACAAUGGGACUGAGACACGGCCCAUACUCCUACGGGAGGCAGCAGUAGGGAAUCUUCCACAAUGGGCGCAAGCCUGAUGGAGCAACACCGCGUGAGUGAAGAAGGGUUUCGGCUCGUAAAGCUCUGUUGUUAAAGAAGAACACGUAUGAGAGUAACUGUUCAUACGUUGACGGUAUUUAACCAGAAAGUCACGGCUAACUACGUGCCAGCAGCCGCGGUAAUACGUAGGUGGCAAGCGUUAUCCGGAUUUAUUGGGCGUAAAGAGAGUGCAGGCGGUUUUCUAAGUCUGAUGUGAAAGCCUUCGGCUUAACCGGAGAAGUGCAUCGGAAACUGGAUAACUUGAGUGCAGAAGAGGGUAGUGGAACUCCAUGUGUAGCGGUGGAAUGCGUAGAUAUAUGGAAGAACACCAGUGGCGAAGGCGGCUACCUGGUCUGCAACUGACGCUGAGACUCGAAAGCAUGGGUAGCGAACAGGAUUAGAUACCCUGGUAGUCCAUGCCGUAAACGAUGAGUGCUAGGUGUUGGAGGGUUUCCGCCCUUCAGUGCCGGAGCUAACGCAUUAAGCACUCCGCCUGGGGAGUACGACCGCAAGGUUGAAACUCAAAGGAAUUGACGGGGGCCCGCACAAGCGGUGGAGCAUGUGGUUUAAUUCGAAGCUACGCGAAGAACCUUACCAGGUCUUGACAUCUUGCGCCAACCCUAGAGAUAGGGCGUUUCCUUCGGGAACGCAAUGACAGGUGGUGCA
rnacentral:rRNA from 1 species